UACGUAGGGGGCAAGCGUUGUCCGGAAUCAUUGGGCGUAAAGCGCGCGUAGGCGGCCCGGUAAGUCCGCUGUAAAAGUCCAGGGCUCAACCCUGGAAUGCCGGUGGAUACUGUCGGGCUAGAGUCCGGAAGAGGCGAGUGGAAUUCCUGGUGUAGCGGUGGAAUGCGCAGAUAUCAGGAAGAACACCCGUGGCGAAGGCGGCUCUCUGGGACGGUACUGACGCUGAGACGCGAAAGCGUGGGGAGCGAACAGG
rnacentral:rRNA from 1 species